rnacentral:rRNA from 1 species
AUGACCCUAGGUCAAGUAGGAUUACCUAUUGAGUUUAAGCAUAUCAAUAAGUGGAGGAAAAAAAACUUACCAAGAUUCCUCUAGUAAUGACGAACGAACCAGGAAUAGCCCAAAUUGAUAAUCAGGUGCACCCAAUAUUUGAAUUAUUGUCUGGAGAAGCAUUGUCAGUGACAAACUGGACCUAAGUCCCCUAAAAAUGGGCACUAAAGAGGGUGAGAGCUCUAUUGUGCUUUGACCCUAUCACACCAUGAAGCAUUAUCUGCUAGUUGAGUUAUUUGGGAACAUAGCCCUAUUUGGGUAGUAAAUUCUAUCCAAGGCUGAUUACAAGCAAGAGACUAAUAGCAAACAAGUACCCUAAUGGAAAAAUGAAAAGGAAUUUGAAAAAAGUGUUAGAAAAUGCUUGAAAUUGUUGGGAGAGAAGUAGAUGGGGGGCUAACAAUGCACCCUAGUCGGAUGUGGAACGAUGAAAGCCGAUCUACCAAUCGACUUGGGUAGUGGACCAAUGUGGGUCAUGAUGGUGGCCCACCCAGGCUUUUGAUAUGCCCACAAAGACAUCAUCACAAUGAUUAUGGAAUGUAGCAUGAACCAUCUCGAUGUGCCUUAGCAUCAGCAUGCUCUUAACAUCAGCUUGUGGGCUCCCCAUCCAGCCUAUCUUGAAACACAGAGCAAGGAGUUUGACAUGUGUAUGAAUCAACAAGCUAGAAAACCCGUAAGGCAUAAGGAAGUUGAUUGGUAGGAUCCCUCAUAGGCGCACUAUCGACCAACCUUGAUCUUUUGAAAAGGGUUCAAGUGUAAGCAUUCUUAUUGAAGCUUAAAAGAUGGUGAACUGUGCCUAGCGGGGCAAAGCCAGAGUAAACUUUGGUGGAGGCCUAUAGUGAUACUAACAUACAAAUCAUUCAUUUGACUUGGGUAUAGGGGUGAAAGACUAAUUGAACCAUCUAGUAACUGGUUUCCUCUAAGGUUUCCUUUAGGAUAGCUAGGCCUUUAUCGAGUUCUAUUGGGUGAAACCAAUGAUUAGAGGCAUUGAGGGUGCAAUGCCCUUGACUUAUUCUCAAACUUUAAAUAGAUAGGAUGGCAUAAUUUCUUUGUUGAGCUAUGCCAUGGAAUCGAGAGCUCUAAAUGGGCCAUUUUUGGUAAGCAGAACUAGUGAUUUUAGAUGAAUCGAAAGCUGGGUUACGAUGCCUAAUUGUGCACUAACCUAGAACCUACAAAGUGUGUUGGUCGAUUAAGGUAACAAGAUUGUGGUUAUGAAAGUCAAAAUCCACUAAGGAAUGUGUAACAACUCACUUACCAAAUCAACUAGCCCCAAAAAUGGCUGGCACUUAGGUGCACAACCUAUACCCAACCAUUAGGGCAAGGGCCAAACCCUAAUGAGUAUGAGGGCAUGGUGGUCACUCUAAAACCUAAGGUGCAAGCUCUAUAGAGAGACCAUUGGUCUAGAUCUUGGUGGUAGUAGCAAAUAUUCAAAUGAGAACUUUGAAUACCGAAGAGGGGAAAUGUUCCAUGCGAACAGCACUUACACAUAGGUUAGUCAAUCCUUAGAGAUGAGGGAAGCCCAUUUGACAAUGCAACUAGUGUGAGAUUUGAAAAGAAAUUGGGUUGAAAUUCCUAAACUAAGAUGCAGUGACUAAUGGCAAUGUUAGGGAGUCUAAAUUGAUGAGAGCCUCGAGAAGAGUUAUAUUUUUUGUUUAACAGCCUGCAUAACCUAGAAAUGGCUCAAUCGAAAGUAAGGUCCAGCAACAGAAAGAGCACUAUACAUCAUGUGGUGUCUAGUGCACCCCCAGUGGCUCUUGAAAAUCCAAAGCACUGAGUGUCAUCUACACCUAGUCAUACUCAUAACCACAUCAAGUCUCCAAUGUAAAUAGCCUUUGGUUGAUGGAACAAGGUAGGUAAGGGAAGUCGGCAAAAUGGAUGCGUAACCUUGAGAAAAAGAUUGGCUCUAAAGGCUGGGCACAAGGGUCCUAGUCCCAAACCUGUCUACUACUGGUGCACUACUUGAGCUACUCUUGCAGUGAGAGUGGCUAGCUAGGGGACAAAUUGGGAAUGGCUCCUUUGGAGGCCUUUCCCAAGUGACAAACAAUCAACUCAAAAUUGGUACAGACUAAGGGAAUUUUAUUGUUCAAUUAAAAGAAAGCGUUAUAAUGGUCCUUACGGAUGUUCGCACAAUGUGACUCCUGCCCAGCACUUUGAAUGUCAAAGUGAAAAAAUUCAACCUAGUGCAGGUAAACAAAGAGAGUAACUAUGACUCUCCUAAAGGAGCCAAAUGCCUCGUCAUCUAAUUAGUGAUGCACAUGAAUGGAUUAACUAGAUUCCCACUAUCCUUGUCUACUAUCUAGUGAAACCAUAGCCAAGGGAAUGGGCUUGGUAGAAUCAAUGGGGAAAGAAGACCUUUUUAAGCUUAACUCUAAUUUGAUUUUGUGAAAUGGCUUAAGAGGUGUAGGAUAAGUGGGAGCCCUAGGGUGAAAUUGAAAUACCAUUACUUUCAAUGUUAUUUUACUUAUUUUGUGAAUCGAAGGUGAGGCAUGACCUCUUCUUUUGGAUCCAAGGCCGACGUUGGUCGAUAGAUCCAAGCAAAAGACAUUGUUAGGUGAAGAGUUUGGCUGGGGUGACAUAUCUAUUAAAAGAUAACACAAGUGUCCUAAGAUGAGCUCAAUUAGAAUAGAAAUCUAGUGUGGAACAAAAGGGUAAAAGCUUAUUUGAUUCUAAACUCCAAUACAAAUAAAAAUCAUGAAAGUGUGGCCUAGUGAUCCUUUAGAUCUUUGAAAUUUGAAGUUAAAGGCAUUGAAAAAGUUACCAUAGGAUAACUGACUUGUGGCAACCAAGCAUUUAUAGCGUUGUUGCUUUUUGAUCCUUCGAUGUUAGCUCUUCCAAUCAUUAUGAAGCAGAAUUCACCAAGUGUUGGAUUAUUAACACACUAAUAGGGAACAUGAGCUAGGUUUAGACCAUCAUAAGAUAGGUUAGUCUUACCCUACUGAUGGUAGCAUCGUAAUAGUAAUUCAACCUAGUAUGAGAGGAACCUUUGAUUCACAUAAUUGGUCAUUGUGCUUGGUUGAAAGGCCAAUGGCACAAAGCUACCAUGCAUUGGAUUAUGACUGAAUGCCUCUAAGUCAGAAUCCAAGCUAGAAGCAAAGCACGCACCUAUCGCCUGAUUGCGAACUUGCAAUAGGGGCCUAUGGCCCUUAAGAGCAUAUGUCAUAGGUGCAACCCCUAAGGCAGACAAGCCAUCUAGGCCUCUUUGGAGCUU